rnacentral:rRNA from 1 species
GACGAACGCUGGCGGCGUGCCUAAUACAUGCAAGUCAAGCGAAGCGGCGGAUGGGUUAGUAACGCGUGUGUAACCUGCCCUUAAGUCUGGAAUACCAUUUGGAAACAGAUGCUAAUACCGUAUACUAACGGAUGGACCUGCGAUGCAUUAUCUAGUUGGUAAGGUAACGGCGUACCAAGGCGAUGAUGCAUAGACGAGUUGAGAGACUUAGUGGCCACAUUGGGACUGAGACACGGCCCAAACUCCUACGGGAGGCAGCAGUAGGGAAUCUUCCAAAAUGGACUAAAGUCUGAUGGAGCAACGCCGCGUGAGUGAAGAAGGUUUUCGGAUCGUAAAGCUCUGUUGUUGGUGAAGCGGUAAUCAACCAGAAAGUCACGGCUAACUACGUGCCAGCAGCCGCGUAAUAC